rnacentral:rRNA from 1 species
ACGCUAGCUACAGGCUUACACAUGCAAGUCGAGGGGAAACGGCAUUAAGUGCUUGCACUUUUUGGACGUCGACCGGCGCACGGGUGAGUAACGCGUAUCCAACCUUCCCAUGACUAAGGGAUAACCUGCCGAAAGGCAGACUAAUACCUUAUGGUCUUCACUGACGGCAUCAGAUGUGAAGUAAAGAUUUAUCGGUUAUGGAUGGGGAUGCGUCUGAUUAGCUUGUUGGCGGGGUAACGGCCCACCAAGGCGACGAUCAGUAGGGGUUCUGAGAGGAAGGUCCCCCACAUUGGAACUGAGACACGGUCCAAACUCCUACGGGAGGCAGCAGUGAGGAAUAUUGGUCAAUGGGCGAGAGCCUGAACCAGCCAAGUAGCGUGCAGGAUGACGGCCCUAUGGGUUGUAAACUGCUUUUGUAUGGGGAUAAAGUCAAUCACGUGUGAUUGUUUGCAGGUACCAUACGAAUAAGGACCGACUAAUUCCGUGCCAGCAGCCGCGGUAAUACGGAAGGUCCGGGCGUUAUCCGGAUUUAUUGGGUUUAAAGGGAGCGUAGGCUGGAGAUUAAGUGUGUUGUGAAAUGUAGACGCUCAACGUCUGACUUGCAGCGCAUACUGGUUUCCUUGAGUACGCACAACGUUGGCGGAAUUCGUCGUGUAGCGGUGAAAUGCUUAGAUAUGACGAAGAACUCCGAUUGCGAAGGCAGCUGACGGGAGCGCAACUGACGCUGAAGCUCGAAGGUGCGGGUAUCGAACAGGAUUAGAUACCCUGGUAGUCCGCACAGUAAACGAUGGAUGCCCGCUGUUGGUACCUGGUAUCAGCGGCUAAGCGGAAGCAUUAAGCAUCCCACCUGGGGAGUACGCCGGCAACGGUGAAACUCAAAGGAAUUGACGGGGGCCCGCACAAGCGGAGG